AGCAGCCGCGGUAAUUCCAGCUCCAAUAGCGUAUAUUAAAGUUGUUGCAGUUAAAAAGCUCGUAGUCGAAUUUCGGGACCAAUUUGUUGGUCGUGCCUCGGUACGUACUGGUAUUAUUGGUUUCUCCCUUCUGAAGAACCUCGAUGCCAUUAAUUUGGUGUCGUGGGGAAUCAGGACUGUUACUUUGAAAAAAUUAGAGUGUUUAAAGCAAGCAUACGCUUGAAUACAUUAGCAUGGAAUAAUGAAAUAGGACGUUUGAUUCUAUUUUGUUGGUUUCUAGGAUCGACGUAAUGAUUAAUAGGGAUAGUUGGGGGCAUUAGUAUUCAAUUGUCAGAGGUGAAAUUCUUGGAUUUAUUGAAGACUAACUACUGCGAAAGCAUUUGCCAAGGAUGUUUUCAUUAAUCAAGAACGAAAGUUAGGGGAUCGAAGACGAUCAGAUACCGUCGUAGUCUUAACCAUAAACUAUGCCGACUAGGGAUCGGAUGAUGUUAAUUUUUUAAUGACUCA
rnacentral:rRNA from 1 species